rnacentral:tRNA from 1 species
AUUGGUAGCUCAGUUGGUAGAGCAACUGACUCUUAAUCAGUGGGUCCAGGGUUCGAGCCCCUGCCAG